GCCCUUAUAGCUCAGUGGUAGAGCGCAGCACUUGUAAAUCUUCCUCCUGGAGAUCUUCUGCAAGUUCAUGCUGAGGUCCAUCGUUCAAUCCGGUGUGGGGGCA